AUUGAACGCUGGCGGCAGGCCUAACACAUGCAAGUCGAACGGGUGGCGGACGGGUGAGUAAUGUCUGGGAAACUGCCUGAUGGACGGGGAUGACUGCGGUAAAAGGUAGCUAAUACCGCAUACGAUCAUAUGGGCCGAGAUGGGAGUAGCUACUUGGUGGGGUAACGGCUCACCAAGGCGACGAUCCCUAGCUGGUCUGAGAGGAUGAGCGGCCACACUGGAACUGAGACACGGCCCAGACUCCUACGGGAGGCAGCAGUAGGGAAUAUGGGACAAUGGGCGAAAGCCUGAUGCAGCAAUGCCGCGUGUAUGAAGAAGGCGUUCGGAUUGUAAAGCACUGUCAUGAGGGAGGCGUUAUCCGAACAGGAAGCACCGGCUAACUCCGUGCCAGCCGCCGCGGUAAUAC
rnacentral:rRNA from 1 species